AGAUGUCAUGCCUGGCUUGAUUCCCUGAGCUCAAUUAGGAGCAACAAGAAUCACCUGUGCUGGCUGCAGCAAUCAGCCACAGGUGAGUGAGAUCCCCAAAUCAGGUCUCCCAUAAAGAGAAGGAGAGCUAAUUGCUCUGUUUGCUCUCCAAAGGACAAGACCUGUUCCACCUUUCUUUGUCGAGUGCGUCCACAUCAGGCCUGCAGCUCCUCCUGCGUCUGCUAAUGGAUCCAGACUGAUCCCGGGGAGGCCCGGGCUGAGGAGGUGGAGGGGCCAGGAGGAAAACUCGGGGGCCCCGGCGUCUGUGACCCCCGGGGUUGGCCGGGGUCGGCUGGAGAGGAAGCGCGGAGCGGCAGGGGAAGUGGGAGCACCUGUGCAGCUACUCUUGCCUGUAAACAUGGAGCUGCUGCUGCUGCUGUGACUGAGAGUGUCAACAUUAUAACCUCUUCACACUGUCCAUCACGUGUCUACUGAAGCCCACCCUCCUGCUCGCCCAUCAACACGCCAACAGACAGUCGCACAAUCCUCCGAUGCCUCUUCCUUU